GUUUUGCGUUAAGGAUGGAAAUGGCAUCCUUUUGUUUACAAAAGAUAUAAUGGACAGCCUGACCUCAA
rnacentral:sRNA from 1 species